rnacentral:lncRNA from 1 species
CUAGUAUCGCGAGAUCAGGAAGGUGGCCGAGUGUGUCGCCGCGGCCAUCAGGCACUUCUCCUUCCUGCCCUUGUAUGAAGAAGGAUGUGUUUGCUUCCCCUUGUGCCAUGAUUGUAAAUUUCCUGAGGCCUCCUCAGCCCUGCAGAACUGGGGUUAUAGCCAUGUGACUGAUCUUCGUCCAAGAAUAUGUAAAGAAAAAGUGUUGAGUUGGCUUUUAGGGCUAGAGCAAUGUAUCUUAGGCUCACUUAAGGAAGCUGUAGAGAUGAGCCCAAGGAGGGAAACCAGAAGAGCCCCCCAGGCUCACCAGUUGUUUGUUGGCUCCCUACAAACAUGUCAUUCAAGUGGCUAAUCUUACAACAGCACAAAUUCAUCUAACCAGAAAGAGAAGAGGAGGCUCCAAAGGCACUUGACUACUGAGCAUCACCCUGGACGUGUACAAGUCUGCGUCCUUAUUGUUUUCUUCAUUGGGCCGAACUUUCUGGUCCUCAUCCAACAGCUCUUCUAUCACGUGUUCGAAAGUGUCAGCCAAUGAUGUCAAGCCUCUUGAACCUGCCUUGGGCCCAUUCACGCUCUCCAGAGUCCCAUGGGUCCGCACACCUGGAGAUACUCUAUUAUAGCAAAGAAGAAAGAUAAUUUCAUUGAGCCAUCCUGUUUUACAGGAUUUUCCCUCCUGGUGAGUCAAAAUGAACAAGAAAUACCCCAGGACCUCCCUUCCCUCCUUGGCCAUUAAUGAGAUGAAGGCAAUUAACUCACAUAGUAUAAAUGAAUCAUUUGAGGUGAUGACUGCAUUUUAGGCAAAUGAUGACUUUCUUGGUUCCAUUGGUUUGCAAGUAAAAGUUACACACAUUGAAAAGACACUGAAACAGAUUUCCUAAAUGCUUCAUUUUCUGGAUGCACCAAUGUUGACCUACUAUACAUGUUAAAUGGUUUUAAAAUAUCACCUUAAAAUAAAGGAAACUUCCAGCUACUAACUCAGCUCUGAAUGGGCUAUGAAAGGCUCCAAAGGUAUGUGAAAAAUUACUGUUAUUUUGCUUUAAAAAAUGUGAUGUCUAAGAGUGUCUGCAAUGUUCUAAUGCUUCAAAACAUGUACGUAAGCCUUGUUUAUCUGGAAAUCAUUUCUUUCUGCUUAUAUCAUUUAUAAAUAGAAAAUGUUCUGUAAUAACUUAAAAUAGUUCCACAUACAUAAUGCUUUUAGUGUCAUAAUACUUACUACUGGUCUAUAUUUACCAACAUUUAUCACAUUUUACAAAAUGAAGUAGAAGAAAAAAAAGACAACGACUUUAUGGCCCUGGAAUUCCAGUAAUGGUGACCAACAUGUUUUAAAUUCCAGUAAAGGUUAUGGUUACAUUUCAACAAGUGUCUCUUUCCUUUUUUUUACCUCUCCUGCUAACCCAGAGGUAAAUUUCCCAAAAA